rnacentral:rRNA from 1 species
GACGAACGCUGGCGGCGUGCCUAAUACAUGCAAGUAGAACGCUGAAGGAGGAGCUUGCUUCUCUGGAUGAGUUGCGAACGGGUGAGUAACGCGUAGGUAACCUGCCUGGUAGCGGGGGAUAACUAUUGGAAACGAUAGCUAAUACCGCAUAAGAGUAGAUGUUGCAUGACAUUUACUUAAAAGGUGCAAUUGCAUCACUACCAGAUGGACCUGCGUUGUAUUAGCUAGUUGGUGGGGUAACGGCUCACCAAGGCGACGAUACAUAGCCGACCUGAGAGGGUGAUCGGCCACACUGGGACUGAGACACGGCCCAGACUCCUACGGGAGGCAGCAGUAGGGAAUCUUCGGCAAUGGACGGAAGUCUGACCGAGCAACGCCGCGUGAGUGAAGAAGGUUUUCGGAUCGUAAAGCUCUGUUGUAAGAGAAGAACGAGUGUGAGAGUGGAAAGUUCACACUGUGACGGUAUCUACCCAGA